CCCUUAGAUGUUCUGGGCUGCACGCGCGCUACACUGAUACUUUCAGCGAGUCCACCACCUUGCCUGAGAGGGUGGGGUAACCUCUGGAAAGUGUAUCGUGAUGGGGAUCGAUUAUUGUAAUUAUUAAUCUUCAACGAGGAAUGCCUAGUAGGCGCAAGUCAUCAGCUUGCGUCGAUUACGUCCCUGCCCUUUGUACACACCGCCCGUCGCUCCUACCGAUUGGGUGUGCUGGUGAAAUGUUCGGAUCGGCCGUUUGUCGCGGUUUCCGCGUCAUGUGGCUGAGAAGUUCAUUAAACCCUCCCACCUAGAGGAAGGAGAAGUCGUAACA
rnacentral:rRNA from 1 species